GUACUCUGUAAGGGACAUCAGCGAGAGAGUCAGACAGAACAGCCAGCGCCGGUGCGACGGUAAGUACAGCUUAGUGGUAGGAAUAGACGAGCAGUUUUGGGCUGCAUGGCCUGUUCUCGUGUAACAUUAUGUUAUGCUGUGCUGUGCUGUGCUGUGCUGUGUUGUGUUGUGUUGUGUUGUGUUGUGUUGUGUUGUGUUGUGCUGUGCUGUGCUGUGCUGUGCUGUGCUGUGCUGUGUUGUGUUGUGUUGUGUUGUGUUGUGUUGUGCUGUGCUGUGCUGUGCUGUGCUGUGCUGUGCUGUGCUGUGCUAUGCUAUGCUAUGCUAUCUUAUGAUAACUCCCCAAGCACACGCAUGGAACAAUCAACGUGUAUCCCAGAGCGCAUCUAUUGGCCACGGGAGGCCGGCUGUCCUCCGUCACUAUGCGACUUAGGGAACCUACGACAGCUCGUGAGCGCGUGUUCUGUAGACGUUGCAGAGAUUAUUGCGGCCCGUUUCUACACCAGCAGACGAGGCAAAGUUGGCUUUGCGGGAAAACACAAUGAUGCACAGCUGGAUCUGGACAGAAGCGGAACGGUGUGAUUUUGGGCAUCAUCACCCGCAGCUGUUUCGAGUGGCGCCUUCUAACCAUAAGUGACAGUUUUGGGAAACCAACCCUGAAAAGAGUCACAAAAAAAAAAUGUAGUGCCGUUUGAAAAGUAUAAAUGUUAUAUUGGUUAUUUGUGCUAAAAAUAGCGGGGGACCAGUUUGGGCAGCAUCUAUUAAUGAGACUUAACAAACUGCUUGAGAAUCCAGAAUUGUAUUGUUUGGCACAGUAACGGAAUAGAAAUGCAGCAGCUACUACAGAGCUAAUCAGACUUAAAUCUCAGACAGAGGAAGAAUUGAUGAUUUCCAAUUAAAAUGUCGAGCAUGCGGACAUCAAUGUCCCGCAUUGAUUCAUCGAGUCACCUCCACUGCAGACGGGGAACGUGGGACACCGGCACCUCGAUGCAGGUGAUCGCUGAAGGUGUUAAGAAUUAGGGAAACGGGGGAUGUGGAAGGUGUUCCGCUUUUUUUUGGAGGAAUAUCCCGUUGUGACGGGGAAGACGGGCUUCCUGUUCUUGACCUUCCAUCAGCUGCUCUUUUGUCAAAAGCCUCCAUUUUGAAAAAAAUGAAACCGAAGCACAGCACAACCGUGUUCUCUUCCUGUCAGUGUUGUUGAUAUUAAUUGAAUGACCGGGUGUGCCAUUUUUAAAAGGGCUAAAAUCAUGUUAUGUUACAUUGAUUGACCACUGAACUGACGAUAAAACAAGGCAGAGAGAAUCAAGCCAUUGUAUCUUUGUGACUAAUAAAAACCCAUUUUGGCACAUAAAAUCAUUAUAUGAUCAGAAAGAAUCACUCUAGUCACGACUAGUUUUGAUUCUGGAAAAAGUGAUAUACAGUCAGAUCAGUCAAUGGAAAUGUAUGAUCUCAAGUAAGAAACCUAAAUCCUCAACAAGCAUGCAACAAGAAGUUAUACUGCACAGUCAAUACAGUGUGCACAGGCACAUUUUCAGUUGUAUCAUUACUUGCUUUUUUUGAUGUAGCUGGUUCUUGAUUUUUGCAUGCUGUUUUAUUUUUCAGCUUUUAUACAGUAGCUGCUCUUGCUCCAUAGCCAAAAAUGUGACCCUAGGCCUAGAAUUGGGCUGAAACAUUUUCAUUUUCACAUUGUAACCAUAUCCUGUUGACAUUGACGUGUUAAUAUAUUCCGCUUGCCUAAUGCAAACGUCCAUUCAUUUGCAUUUAAUUGCAACACGUGAUCAUCCUCUUCUGACGUGGUCAAAACACGGUGCCGAAUUUAAGAGUGGUAUUGCUAGGGAACCCUAAAUGAGCUGUAAUCGCACAUCUUUGGCGAACCUCAAAGAUAGUGUUCAAGAAAACAGCUUUGCUGGAGAAAUCAGAUGUCAAAAGGAAAAUGACAAGCCAAUCCAACCCCAUAUUUCCUGGCUCCUGUCUGCGGGCAAUCAUGGGCCGGUACUUGCAUUCAUCUUGCGUUAAUCUGUGACUGGCUACGCAUGCUGCACAGGAAAACAAAGC